UAUUUUCGUCAAGAAUUUGGUUGAUUGUUGAAGAUAGUUCAAUAAUCAUUAAAAGGGAAUUAGGUGAUUCUUCUAGAAAAAACCUGAGCUGUUCCCGCAACUGUAAGCUUUGUCUGUAAAAAGAUGCUUGUAGUAAAACUUCAAAAUCCACUGUUUUAAAAACGGGAAGGAGCUACUACAAGACGCAAGCCAGGAGACCUGCCAAUAUUCAUUUAAUUAA
rnacentral:ncRNA from 2 species